GGGAAUGUGGCCUAGUGGUAGAGUGCUUGCCUAGCACGCAUGAAGCCCUGGGUUCAAUUCCGCAGUACCA
rnacentral:tRNA from 1 species